GGCACCAUUGUUUAGUUGGUUAAAAUACCUGUUUUUUAAACAGGAGAUCCUGGGUUCAACUCCCAGUGGUGUCU